CAUGCCUCAGUACGGCGAGUGAAGCGGCAAAAGCUCAAAUUUGAAAUCUAGCACUUUCAGUGUUCGAGUUGUAAUUUGAAGAAGGUAACUUUGGUUUUGGCUCUUGUCUAUGUUCCUUGGAACAGGACGUCACAGAGGGUGAGAAUCCCGUGCGAUGAGAUGCCCAAUUCCAUGUAAAGUGCUUUCGAAGAGUCGAGUUGUUUGGGAAUGCAGCUCUAAGUGGGUGGUAAAUUCCAUCUAAAGCUAAAUAUUGGCGAGAGACCGAUAGCGAACAAGUACAGUGAUGGAAAGAUGAAAAGAACUUUGAAAAGAGAGUGAAAAAGUACGUGAAAUUGUUGAAAGGGAAGGGCUUGAGAUCAGACUUGGUAUUUUGCGUUCCCUUCCUUUUUGGUUGGGUUCCUCGCAGUUUACUGGGCCAGCAUCGGUUUGGAUGGUAGGAUAAUGACAUUGGAAUGUAGCUUUACUUCGGUGAAGUGUUAUAGACUUUGUUGAUACUGCCUAUCUAGACCGAGGACUGCGUCUUUGACUAGGAUGCUGGCGUAAUGAUCUUAAGCCGCCCGUCUUGAACAACGGAACCA
rnacentral:rRNA from 1 species